rnacentral:lncRNA from 10 species
GGGGGCCUAAUCAGUGAGAGUGUGGUCAGGGAGGACCUGAUGUGCGGGAUCUGGUCAGCAGGGACCUGGUCAGUGGGGCUGCUGAGCACUGCUGGGAGGUGUCAGGGGAAAUGCAUGUUAUCAGGGGCCCUAUGGACAGCUGGGAUGGCCCAGUGGUGUCCAGUGGCCCAGUCAAAAGUGGACAAAGCAGGUGUUUGGAUGGACCUGGGAGAUCUUGCUCAGAGAUUCUGAAAGAACAAAGGUAAAGGAAGGGCCAGAGUGGGUAGAGAGAUGGUCACAGUCUAUGGGCUGCACAGGAUGGAGGA